rnacentral:rRNA from 1 species
UGGGGAAUAUUGGACAAUGGGCGCAAGCCUGAUCCAGCCAUGCCGCGUGAGUGAUGAAGGCCCUAGGGUUGUAAAGCUCUUUCACCGGUGAAGAUAAGGACGGUAACCGGAGAAGAAGCCCCGGCUAACUUCGUGCCAGCAGCCGCGGUAAUACGAAGGGGGCUAGCGUUGUUCGGAUUUACUGGGCGUAAAGCGCACGUAGGCGGACUUUUAAGUCAGGGGUGAAAUCCCGGGGCUCAACCCCGGAACUGCCUUUGAUACUGGAAGUCUUGAGUAUGGUAGAGGUGAGUGGAAUUCCGAGUGUAGAGGUGAAAUUCGUAGAUAUUCGGAGGAACACCAGUGGCGAAGGCGGCUCACUGGACCAUUACUGACGCUGAGGUGCGAAAGCGUGGGGAGCAAACAGG